CAGAGGGAAGACGAGAGGUCCUUUGUCUUUGCAGCUUGUCUGAAAUGGCUCAGGCUUUCAACCUUUACUUCAGUUGGCUGAAGUAAGGCAUGCCUUGUGCAUUAGAUAAAUGCACCAGGAAGAACAGAUAACUCCUUGAUUUGGGAUCCAUCCUCUGACAGGAGCAAAGGACGAAUGAUCCUACUUGGAGCAGAUCUUUAUCCUGAAAAGUGCUAGACACUGAUCUUCACCCAGCAGCAAAGCAUCUAAAGACUGUGAUGAAUGAUGGCUGGAGAGCUCAGCACCUGGCAGGAGGGAGCUUGUAG